rnacentral:sRNA from 1 species
UGCCAACAAAAAACUAUGAUAUUUGAUUGAAAACUGUCUUCGAAACAGUUCCAAUCCAGUAGCUCGUGCGUAAAGAUUCAAAAUAGUAUUAGAAUAGGAAAGUAGAAAGAAGGAGCGUCUAGAUUUGUUUGUUAAAAAAUCUCUGGAAAAUGCCUAUUUACUGGAAAGCCAUACCGCAACUGAUUGUGGCUCUGCCAGUAAUCGACUACCUGUUCUCGGUGGUGGUCAAAAUGGAGAUCGCAGAGCAGAAGCGUCUCCGCGAGAUGGAGACUGCCAGCCCACAAAAGCCCGACGUAAAAGAGUGUUAAAAAAGGCGAAGAGACGGACGAGUGUUACCCCAAAACCACAGCCAAACGAAGACAAGAAACAGUGGAGGUCCCUGGACACAUUGCACCCUCUUUUCGGGAGAGGCCGCCGCCCUGGAGGGCACAGCAGAAGGGGCUCAAGUGGUCCCUCCUUUGGCUGGGGGUUUGGGGUAAACUCUACUUGGAUUUGUUGUAUCUUGUGUCAAAUUCUCGAAUGUCUUACCACCGACUAAAGCUGUCAGUCUA